rnacentral:rRNA from 1 species
UACGUAGAGACCGAGCGUUGUCCGGAAUCAUUGGGCGUAAAGAGCGUGUAGGCGGCCACUUAAGUCCUGCGUGAAAUCCUGCGGCUCAACCGCGGGCCUGCAGCCGAUACGGGCAGGCUAGAGUUCGGUAGGGGAGACUGGAAUUCCUGGUGUAGCGGUGAAAUGCGCAGAUAUCAGGAGGAACACCGAUGGCGAAGGCAGGUCUCUGGGCCGAUACUGACGCUGAGGAGCGAAAGCGUGGGGAGCGAACAGG